rnacentral:rRNA from 1 species
AGGUCAGGACACGGUAAGGAUUGACGGACUGAAGGCUCUUUCUCGAUUCCGUGGAAAGUGGUGCAUGGCCGUUUUGGUUGGUGGAUCGAUCCGUCUGGUUAAUUCCGUUAACGAACGAGACCUCGGCACUCCGAAUAGCGCGGCGGACGUCGCGGCCUCCGGGCCGUCUUCCGCACGAGCUUCUUAGAGGGACCGUCCCCCGCCGGGGAAGGAGGUGCGAGGCAACGACAGGUCUGUGAUGCCCUUAGAUGUUCUGGGCCGCACGCGCAUUACACUGACGCGUCCAACGGGUGACUCCCGACCCGAAGGGGCCGGGGAAUCCGCAAGGCGCGUCGUGAUGGGGAUUGAACGUUGCAAUUGUUGUUCACGAACGAGGAAUUCCUAGUAGGCGCGGGUCAUCAACCCGCGCCGAUUACGUCCCUGCCCUUUGUACACACCGC